UACGUAGGGGCCUAGCGUUGUCCGGAUUUAUUGGGCGUAAAGAGCUCGUAGGCGGCUUUCUAUGUCGGGGGUGAAAUCCUGGAGCUCAACUCCAGAACUGCCUUCGAUACUGUCGUGCUUGAGGCCGGGAGAGGAUGGCGGAAUUCCCAGUGUAGAGGUGAAAUUCGUAGAUAUUGGGAAGAACACCGGUGGCGAAGGCGGAGAUCUGGACCGGUUCUGACGCUGAGGCGCGAAAGCGUGGGGAGCAAACAGG
rnacentral:rRNA from 1 species